CCCAAAAAUUUCAGCCCACUCACUUUGAAAACUCAAUCAAGCGCCAAUACUUGGAAGUUAUCUUGAUGAGUGGCUAGAUUCUUCUUCUUCUUCUUCCCUCCAUCGCUACCAAAUCAAUCAUCGUUCCUUGCGAUGUUCCAUUGCUUCAAAUGAAUUUUGAUUAAUCAAUACAUAUAUAUAACCAAAUCUUCGCUCUUCAUGAAUUCGGUUUCAGAGAAUGUGCUCUGGUCUGAAACUUUUAAGGAAUUUGGGCUUUCCUUGAAGGAAAUGAAUAAAAAAGUUGCACCAGGGAUUGAAUCACUUGUACAUCUCAAUAUUAUUAGAAUACAUAUAUAUCUACCUGAUAUCUGCAGCUCUUGUACUGAGGUUUGAGUCUUUUGAUAGAGCAUAUCAUAUCAAGCAAAGGGCAAGGUUGGACAAUAAUCCAUUGGCUCUAAGUUUGAGGUAUUGUAAAAAAUAAUUUCUCUUGCAUUAAUUAUUUUAUCUUGAUAAUCAAUAAGGGUGUACAGCUAGUAUAGUAAAAUUUUAGAUUCCAAAUAAAUUAUUUUAAUAUAAACUGUAAAACAUCAUAAAAUCACAAAUAUAAAUUAUGAACCCACUCCAACUAAGUCCAAAAAUCAAUAAUUUUCCUUAGUAUUUUGCAGUUCAAGUGCCCUUUUACAAUGUCCUUAUCAUAAACCGUAAUUAGUGCUUCUCUAUUAAAGGUUAAAGUUUAAAGAAAAGAAAAAAAAAAAAAGUUGACAUUAGGAACUAGAAUUAUAAAAACUGAAGUAGGAAGAAAUUUUAAAUUGCAUAUAAAGUUAAUGCUAGAGUUUUAGUGAUAUUAAAUCUGACCAGGUUUAAUUCAUUAAUAUUGAGAUUGUUUUGGAGUUGGAAAAAGUUUCGACUUAAACUUAAACUGAAAUCAAUAAUAAUAAUAAAAAAAAAUUCUGGCCAGGCUUGCUGGAUUAAUCCAAUUCUAUGGAGGUUGAGCUCCAUGCUUUAGUGCAAGAUUUCAGUUGGCGUAUAAUAUUGGUUUUUGCAAGGUUUAGAUAGCAAUGGAUUCAAAAGCCUCUCUAAAUUUAGUCUUGAAUAAUGAUGGUAGUAAAUUUUCAGCACAUUAACUUAUCACCUCAAUGUGAGAGUCCGUUGAAGAGAUCUUGGUAAGUGGUUCUGAGGCCACCAGAAUGGAAAAAACUUACGAAUUUAGCGGUAGAUGCUAAGGUUUGUUUGCCAUAUUUUCCAGAUUCUUUUAGGAGUGACUCAUGGGUUGACUCAGUUUAACUGUGUCGAGAAUAAAGAGAGAUUCAUAAAUUGCUAAAUUGAAUUUUUUAUUUUAUAAUGUAAAUAUAAUUUAAUAAAUGUUGGAAGUUUUUAUUUUAAGUUCUUAAAGAAUUACUUUUCCUUUUUAGAAUGAAGGUGAAUAUCUCAAAUUUUUUCCUUUUUAAAAAUAAGAUAAAUAUAUUAAAAUAAUUAGAUAAAAAUAUUCGAAUUUAAAAUCUCAUAAAUUUUAUAUAUUUUUAUUUACCAAUUCAAUUAAUUUUAUUACCUCAUUAAUUGAAUUAAUAACAUUGAUUAUAUCAGUGACUCAUCAAGUGGGUCAUUCUAUCAUAUCAAAUCCAAGCUGGAUUAAAUAAUAUUGAAUGAAACAAUACAUGCAAACUAUUAAUAAGAUAAUAUUAACUCAAGCCAAAGAAAACCCAUUUAUUGUAAGCCAUAAAAAAAACUAAUGAGAUGUAUCUCUCUAAGCUAACAUACAUUGAAACAUGACAAUGAUUUGAACCAGACAUUGCUGUACAACCACAUGUAUCAAACACUAUUUACUUCAUGAUCUGUCUCUAUCAAGGGUUCUGCAUGCACUCGAAGGCCAAAAAAAAAAAGUUGAAUUAUAAAUCUUUAUUUUUUUAAGUCCCACCAAUAAAGAGAAAAGGAAAUAUUGCUGUAGGACCUUUUACCAAGUGUAAAGAAUUUUGCAUACAUGUAUCUGAAUUGUACACAACUUUUCUUCUUUAGAAAUAGUUUAAAUCCACCACUAUACUUUUUAUUAUAACCAAAUAAAUUCAUUUUAGUUUCUAAACUAAACCAUAACUUUAUAAUUAAAGUCGAACAUAUUCCAACAUAUUAAAAUAUUAAAUUUUUUAAGCGAUUCUUGAUUUUUAUUUUAAUUAAAAAUAGUAUGAAGUUAUAAUAUUUGAAAAUUACAAAAAAUAGUAUUUUACCAAAGUUGUAGGUCUACAUAACAAAAAAAAUUAAAAUAAUUGAUUUUAUCUGAUAAAAAGUAUUGGGACGAAUUUGCCCUCAUUUCCUUUCUUCUUUUUAGAUUAGAUUUAGGGUUAUAAAAUAGAUUUAAGUUUGGCUCAUUAGUCCAUCCCUUGGUGUUGGAAGGGGACAGGUAGAGGUUGAGUACAUGCUGGAAUCCGUGUGGGGAAGAUCACACGUGUGUGCCUAUGGGUGAACUAAACAAAAGUGCAUUACACAUAUUGAUCAACAACAGUAUUAAUUUUCAGAUAUAUGAAGCUAGAAGAAGGGCCAAGGGGCAGUAGGCAAUCUGGGUUAGAUAGAUGACGGUGAUGAUGAUGAUGAUGAUGAUGACAGUUGCAUUAUGAUCAUAAGUUGUCAAUUGUAGGCAUUGAAUGUGUUAGGAUCUUAAUUGCAAAGUAAUUUUGUGUCCCACAUUGUAAAUAUGAGAUUUUAAUAUGGCCCAUUGCUGACUUUUGAAGUGUAAUUUUGCUAAAUUUUUAUUAAUGGUAACAAAACUGGUCAUUGUGCUUGCCUAGCAAGGUAAAAUGUUACCAUUUUAAUUGCAAUGUAAGUUGUCUCCUACACUGAAAAUACAAGAUUUUAACUAAUUUAGGACCAAAGCCUAUAUUAUAGUUUUUUAGUGCUGUGUAUCUUACUCCAUGGAUAUCCUUUUUCUUAUAUGUAUACUAGUCAUUCUAUAAUUUUUUAUUCUAAGUGGCUCUAAUACCGGUUAAUCCAGCCUAGCUCUCAUCAGCUAAAUAAUUUUUGAUUUUUUUAUAUUAUAUUUUUUUUAU